rnacentral:rRNA from 1 species
AGUGAACGCUGGCGGUAGACCUAACACAUGCAAGUCGAACGGCAGCACAGUAAGAGCUUGCUCUUACGGGUGGCGAGUGGCGGACGGGUGAGGAAUACAUCGGAAUCUACUUUUUCGUGGGUGAUAACGUAGGGAAACUUACGCUAAUACCGCAUACGACCUACGGGUGAAAGCAGUGGAUCUUCGCACCUUGCGCGAUUGAAUGAGCCGAUGUCGGAUUAGCUAGUUGGCGGGGUAAAGGCCCACCAAGGCGACGAUCCGUAGCUGGUCUGAGGGGAUGAUCAGCCACACUGGAACUGAGACACGGUCCAGACUCCUACGGGAGGCAGCAGUGGGGAAUAUUGGACAAUGGGCGAAAGCCUGAUCCAGCCAUACCGCGUGGGUGAAGAAGGCCUUCGGGUUGUAAAGCCCUUUUGUUGGGAAAGAAAAGAAGCAGGUUAAUACCCCGCUGUUCUGACGGUACCCAAAGAAUAAGCACCGGCUAACUUCGUG